UAGGGAAUCUUCCACAAUGGACGCAAGUCUGAUGGAGCAACGCCGCGUGAGUGAAGAAGGUCUUCGGAUCGUAAAGCUCUGUUGUUGGUGAAGAAGGAUAGAGGCAGUAACUGGUCUUUAUUUGACGGUAAUCAACCAGAAAGUCACGGCUAACUACGUGCCAGCAGCCGCGGUAAUACGUAGGUGGCAAGCGUUGUCCGGAUUUAUUGGGCGUAAAGCGAGCGCAGGCGGAAUGAUAAGUCUGAUGUGAAAGCCCACGGCUCAACCGUGGAACUGCAUCGGAAACUGUCAUUCUUGAGUGCAGAAGAGGAGAGUGGAACUCCAUGUGUAGCGGUGGAAUGCGUAGAUAUAUGGAAGAACACCAGUGGCGAAGGCGGCUCUCUGGUCUGCAACUGACGCUGAGGCUCGAAAGCAUGGGUAGCGAACAGGAUUAGAUACCCUGGUAGUCCAUGCCGUAAACGAUGAGCGCUAGGUGUUGGGGACUUUCCGGUCCUCAGUGCCGCAGCAAACGCAUUAAGCGCUCCGCCUGGGGAGU
rnacentral:rRNA from 1 species